AGCUCCAAUAGCGUAUAUUAGAGUUGUUGCAGUUAAAAAGCUCGUAGUUGGAUUUCUGUUGGGGAUAAUUCGUCCGCCUUUUGGUGUGCAUGAAUGAACCCUAGCAUUCUUCUGGUUCCCCUUUAUACUUUAUUGUAUAUUGGUUCUCCAGAACUUUUACUUUGAGAAAAAUAGAGUGUUUCAAGCAGGCUUUUGCCUUGAAUACUGCAGCAUGGAAUAAUAAGAUAGGACUUUGGCCCUAUUUUGUUGGUUCUAGGACUAAAGUAAUGAUUAAUAGGGACAGUUGGGGGCAUUCGUAUUUAACUGUCAGAGGUGAAAUUCUUAGAUUUGUUAAAGACGAACUACUGCGAAAGCAUUUGCCAAGGAUGUUUUCA
rnacentral:rRNA from 1 species